CUUCCGGAAGUCAGGGCCGCGGCGCUUCUGGUCCCGGAGACUUGGGGCUCCCGGGCUUCUGAGCGGCUCGGGUUCCGCGCUGCCGGCAGGGCUUGGGGGCGCCUUAGAGCCGAACCCCGUUUUUUCAGGAAAGGGCGCUGCGACCACCCCCGUCCCGGGCCUCAGCCCCUCUGCUGCAGACCCUCGGGAUCGUCGCUGGAAAGAUUCUGAAGCUUGGCGGAGAGGGGUGUGUGAGUGGACACCAGUGAAGUAACGGUUUUUGUGUUACGAUGAUUUCUGUUUUCCUCUGCUGCCCUGUAAUGGCAGGAACUCGGAUAGUCUGGUCUUCAGACCAGGAGGACUCCCAGGAGAGAACGGAGAGCCAGUGUGCUGUGUGUCACGGUCCCUGGAUGAACGUUUGUGGAACUGGAUUGAAUUAAACAAGACGUGCAAAGCAAGUGGUUCACGAGGUAGUGUGGGGGUGUAGGGAUGGGGACUGACCCGGGAGGCAGGACACAGCCCAAGCCCUGCCUUGGCCUCACCUCUAACUUGC
rnacentral:lncRNA from 10 species